rnacentral:tRNA from 1 species
UCCCCAAUAGCUCAGCUGGUAGAGCAGGUGGCUGUUAACCACCGGGUCCGUGGUUCGAGUCCGCGUUGGGGAGCCA